rnacentral:rRNA from 1 species
UACGUAGGGUGCGAGCGUUGUCCGGAAUUAUUGGGCGUAAAGGGCUCGUAGGCGGUUUGUCGCGUCGGGAGUGAAAACCUCGGGCUUAACUCGGGGCUUGCUUUCGAUACGGGCAGACUGGAGGUAUGCAGGGGAGAACGGAAUUCCUGGUGUAGCGGUGAAAUGCGCAGAUAUCAAGAGGAACACCUGAGGUGAAGACGGGUUGCUGGGCUGACACUGACGCUGAGGCGCGAAAGCCAGGGGAGCAAACGGG